rnacentral:rRNA from 1 species
AUUGAACGCUGGCGGCAGGCCUAACACAUGCAAGUCGAGCGAGCGGCGGACGGGUGCGAAAUGUCUGGGCAACUGACUGAUGGAGAGGGAUAACUACUGGAAACGCUAGCUAAUAACACAUACAAUCAGCGGUGCCCAGAUGGGCUUGUAUGGUAGUGUGGGUAACGUAUCACCUAGGCGACGAUCCCUAGCAGGUCUGCGAGGUUGACCAGGCAAACUGGAACGUAGAGGCGGCCAAGACUCCUACGGGAGGCAGCAGUGGGGAAUAGUGAACUAUGGGCGCAAGCCUGAUGCAGCCAUGCCGCGUGUGUGAAGAAGGCAUGCGGGUUUGAAAGCAGUUUCAUCUGGGCGGCGUUACCCGCAGAAGAAGCACCGGCUAACUCCGUGCCAGCAGCCGCGGUAAUUC